GACGAACGCUGGCGGCGUGCUUAACACAUGCAAGUCGAACGGAGUACCCUCGAAAGAGAUUUCGGUCAAUGGAGAGGACUACUUAGUGGCGGACGGGUGAGUAACGCGUGAGGAACCUGCCUUUCAGAGGGGGACAACAGCUGGAAACGGCUGCUAAUACCGCAUAACGCAUAGGUAUCGCAUGGUACAGAUGCCAAAGAUUUAUCGCUGAGAGAUGGCCUCGCGUCUGAUUAGCUAGUUGGUAGGGUAACGGCCUACCAAGGCGACGAUCAGUAGCCGGACUGAGAGGUUGGCCGGCCACAUUGGGACUGAGAUACGGCCCAG
rnacentral:rRNA from 1 species